GAUGAAGAACGCAGCGAAAUGCGAUAAGUAAUGUGAAUUGCAGAAUUCAGUGAAUCAUCGAAUCUUUGAACGCAUCUUGCGCUCCUUGGUAUUCCGAGGAGCAUGCCUGUUUGAGUGUCAUUAAAUUCUCAACCUUACUAGCUUUUGCGAAGUAAGGCUUGGAUGUGGGGGUUACUUUUGCUGGCUUCUAACGAGGUCGGCUCCCCUGAAAUGCAUUAGCGGUGCCCUUGUGGACCCCGACUAUCAGUGUGGUAAUUAUCUACGCUGUUAGGCGCCCACGCUUUAGUGCUGCUUCUAACCGUCCGGUUUCUGGACAACACAAAUGACAUUUCUGACCUCAAAUCAGGUAGGACUACCCGCUGAACUUAAGCAUAUCAAUAAGCGGAGGA
rnacentral:misc_RNA from 1 species